UACGUAGGGACCGAGCGUUGUCCGGAAUCAUUGGGCGUAAAGAGCGUGUAGGCGGCCGAUCAAGUUCCGCGUGAAAUCUCACGGCUCAACCGUGAGCAGCCGUGGAAAACUGGUCGGCUAGAGUGCGGGAGAGGAGAGUGGAAUUCCUGGUGUAGCGGUGAAAUGCGCAGAUAUCAGGAAGAACACCCGUGGCGAAGGCGGCUCUCUGGAACGCAACUGACGCUGAGACGCGAAAGCGUGGGGAGCGAACAGG
rnacentral:rRNA from 1 species